rnacentral:rRNA from 1 species
GAUGAACGCUGGCGGCGUGCCUAAUACAUGCAAGUCGAGCGAAUGGAUUAAGAGCUUGCUCUUAUGAAGUUAGCGGCGGACGGGUGAGUAACACGUGGGUAACCUGCCCAUAAGACUGGGAUAACUCCGGGAAACCGGGGCUAAUACCGGAUAACAUUUUGAACCGCAUGGUUCGAAAUUGAAAGGCGGCUUCGGCUGUCACUUAUGGAUGGACCCGCGUCGCAUUAGCUAGUUGGUGAGGUAACGGCUCACCAAGGCAACGAUGCGUAGCCGACCUGAGAGGGUGAUCGGGCCCACGGGGACUGAGACACGGCCCAGACUCCUACGGGAGGCAGCAGUAGGGAAUCUUCCGCAAUGGACGAAAGUCUGACGGAGCAACGCCGCGUGAGUGAUGAAGGCUUUCGGGUCGUAAAACUCUGUUGUUAGGGAGGAACAAGUGCUAGUUGAAUAAGCUGGCACCUUGACGGUACCUAACCAGAAAGCCACGGCUAACUACGUGCCAGCCGCCGCAGUAA